GACGAACGCUGGCGGCGUGCUUAACACAUGCAAGUCGAACGGUGAAGCGCCUUCCUGUUUGGUGGGGGUGGAUGAGUGGGGAAGUGGUAAGUAACACGUUACUAACCUGCCGGCUUCUACUGGAUAACCGCAUGAAAGUUUCGCUAAUAGAGGAUAUGCUGGAACUGUGGCAUGAUGGGUCGGGUAAAGAUGUUGUUUCGGUGGGGGAUGGACUCGCGGCCUAUUAGCUUGUUGGUGGGGUAAGGGCCUACCAAGGCGGUGAUGAGUAGCCGGCCUGAGAGGAGGAUGAGCGGCACUAGGGCGGAGACACGGCCCAGACGCCUACGGGGGGCGGCAGUGGGGAGUUUUAGAGAAUGAGGGGAGCCCGGAUGAGGCAACGCCGCGGGGGGGAGGAAGGCCUCCGGUGGGUAAAGAACUUUUUUCCGGAAAGAAAUCGCGCUGGUUAAUACGUGGGUGGGUUGACGGUACCUGAAGAAUAAGCGCCGGCUAACUACGUG
rnacentral:rRNA from 1 species